rnacentral:rRNA from 1 species
ACACUCCUACGGGAGGCAGCAGUGGGGAAUUUUGGACAAUGGGCGAAAGCCUGAUCCAGCCAUGCCGCGUGCAGGAUGAAGGCCUUCGGGUUGUAAACUGCUUUUGUACGGAACGAAACGGCCUUUUCUAAUAAAGAGGGCUAAUGACGGUACCGUAAGAAUAAGCACCGGCUAACUACGUGCCAGCAGCCGCGGUAAUACGUAGGGUGCAAGCGUUAAUCGGAAUUACUGGGCGUAAAGCGUGCGCAGGCGGUUAUGUAAGACAGUUGUGAAAUCCCCGGGCUCAACCUGGGAACUGCAUCUGUGACUGCAUAGCUAGAGUACGGUAGAGGGGGAUGGAAUUCCGCGUGUAGCAGUGAAAUGCGUAGAUAUGCGGAGGAACACCGAUGGCGAAGGCAAUCCCCUGGACCUGUACUGACGCUCAUGCACGAAAGCGUGGGGAGCAAACAGGAUUAGAAACCCCAGUAGUCCCAUG